UAUCUAGGUUAAUUAUGGCUUUAAUCUAAUUAUUGUAAGCAUUGCUCGUUAUUAUUUUACAAAUUAUGCAGAAAAUUAAUUAGCUAGGUUCUGUUUGGUAUGCCAUAGAAAGUGUAGAAACACACGGUUUCUAAUCACCUAUCCCUUGGUUGGAACUGCAUCUUUAUCCAUGACUCAUGGCGAGCCAUGCCGAUAUAGUAGUUCUGGCUUCAGCUACCUUAUGUCUAUGGCAUCGCAAUCUUGACUUUUGAUGCCCAUGAUAGACCGUGUUUAUCAUAUGCUGGGACACACAGACACUGAUAACCACAAUAAUAGUAGACUAGUAGCAGCGAAUUGUAGGGCAGUCCGAAAAUCCUGCACAACAAAAACAAAAUGCAAUCAAUCUUCACUUCUCAUAUUUUCUAAAUUUUAGUCAAGACCGAUACUAGCACAACUCUUUAUAUUUGUCAAGUCUUUGAGUCUUAAAUUACUUACAGUUUAGUUUCAAAACCGUAGUUCAUCUAAAGUGCGAAUUCUCAUAUUAAUGGAAACAUGAGUACUGUUAGAUUGACGAGUUUAUAUUUCUUUACUAGGUAUAGGGUUUUUUUUUUUUUUCUUCUUGUUUUUGUAAUCACAGUCUAUUGAUUUAUUCCCGUUUAAAUGAUUAGUAACACUAAAGAUAUACCAAUCAAUCUAUUGGAUUCUCCAAAUCUGACUCUAUCACUCUGCAGAUUAAUAACAUAUGUGGGACCGCAGGUCCCAUUGACACAGGUAAAUAGUAUUGUUGCUACUUGCUUGGUUUGAUGAUGACGACGACGAUUCUGUUUGGGAUAUGAUGUUGGACAUAUGAAGCCCGGAAAGUGUGAGAAAAGAGAAUGGGAGCAAGAUGAUUGGAGAAGGCAAAGGCCAUGAUUGAACACACGGAGAGUGUGUUUUAAGCCAUCCCCUCCCCCUUGCGGCAUUGUCCCAUGGUCAACAAUCCUAGCUUGUCCUUACGCAAGCAUAUCAAUUUAUAUUUUUACAGUCGAAUAAUAUAAGUUAUCUUUAACUUUUGAAAAAACUAAGAGAUAUAGGAGAAAUAAAGUUCAUCUUAUUUGGUAUUACUCUGGCACUAGUUAUGAGAGUCGUCAAUCUCUUCCUAAAUUUUAUGUUGCCAAAAAAAAGUUUCAUCAUUAUUUCGUUCACACUCAACAUCUUAACAGAAUUGAAUUUUUCCUAGCUAAGGGAAAUGAGAAUAGGACUAUGGUCAAAGAAUCGUUGGCAACUGUCGAUUGAAAUCAACAAGAACAAUAGUAUUUCGUAAUUCACGACACUCGAGAGGAUUUUUUAUUUUUCUACAAUUGUAACCUUUUUAGAUAUGGGUAAGGACACCGUUUGCUACACUCACGUCUCCCAAGAAAGGUUUGUAAUCUAAGCAAGGUCAAAAUUUGAGGAUUUGAUAAUGCUGGCUGUUGAUGUUUACGGAACUGACCCCAAGGUUGAAAUGGACAAGGAAAUUAUCAAUAAGAUCAUCAUCGAGAAAUUUUUCUAAGGGUCCACACGGAUUUCCUUAGUGGAAACAACAAGCCCGAGGAAGUUGAUUCGGUCUACCCUACAGAUACCUACUAACUCCGCCUACAACUGGUGUUUCCUUAACUUUCUCCAACACGACUUUGGAUGUCAUAAGCGAUUUCCCAACAGAUAUGCCUCUGCCCACCAUUCCUAAGGAACAUAUGUUGCAGAAUAGCGAUCCGAUAUUGAAAGUCAUUCAUCAAAUAAUUACGACAAACUUGAGGCACAAUCCCGACACGAAUUUCUUAUACUUCAAAUAGGAUGUGACUAUUCAGGCUGAAUGAGGAUUGCACAACUGUGCCGAAGGACAUCAGUAAACAGAAGCCAUGACAUCCAAAUGAUAUCAAGGCCAACACACUACUAGAGUAAGAGAAGAUCCUAGGUAUGCUCUGAACAAACCAUUCUCUGAUACCAAACUAACACGCCCCAAUCCCAAUAUCCCCAUAUACCAGGGUAGGCACGUGCUGGUCGACACCCAAGGGUGACGAAGCCAUUUUAAAUAUGCAAACAAAUAAAGAAUAUGCAAUUAGAACGAAAUAUGCCAUUGUACGAACAUGUUCAGAGCAUACAACGACUAAGAAUAAUAUGGAAGAAUUAGUAAGAAAAGAUACGAACAAGGAAAUGAUACCUAUACUAAGAAGACUCGAGGAUACCUAUGUUGUAGAGUCAUGACACCGGGAACAAAUGUCUCGAUUCUAACUCCUGAGGUGGCGCAAAAACCAAAAGGUGAGUGGACAAACUUUUAUAAUAAUACUAAUAAGAAGAAAACAUUUUAUUUCUGAACAUAAUAAGCCCCUGUUUUGAAAACACAUAUAAUACUACAUAAUAGAUUUUCUGAAAACCCUAGCAUGCCAUGAAAAACCAUUUAAUAAGGAAGUGCGUAAAAUCUAGUGCUCAAUUAUAGAAAUAUCAUUGCCCGAAGGCAAUUUUGUAAAACAUCUAGAAAUCACGUCAGUGAGGUACUCACUAGGGGUAUCAUAGUCGCCCAAAUGUAAUACAUGUCCAUCACCUGAAGGUGAAGCUGAAUAACAUGUCCAUCACCCGAAGGUGAAGCUGAAUAACCUGUCCAUCACCCGAAGGUGAAGCUGAAUAAAAUAGCAUAACAUACACAUCAACACUAACCGUGGCUAGUGAAGCUGUCCGACACUGCUUUCGGCAGUUAAGCUGGGGGUAUAUCAUAAACAUCAUCAAUUGUGUCAUAUGGCGAUAGACGUCAUACCCGUGUUGUGUGUAUGUGCCAUAUGAUAACCCACUAGAUAAGUACCAAAAACAUAUCUCAAAACUCGUAUUAAAAUACCGGAGUUCAAAAGCUCAAAGUCACAUCUCAUAAAUCCAUGAUAAAUCAUAUUCAUGAAUCCAUAAAAUAAAUCAUAUUCGCAAUUUCGUAAUAUAAAUAGUAUUCGAAAUCCAUAGAAAUCCAUGUAUGCAAAUCCAAUAAUUUGUAUCCAUUCGUAAAACGUAAUCUCUAUAAAUUAUUAAUAUUUUGUAAACCCUAAAUUAUAGAAAUCCAUAAAUCAUAUUAUAAAACAUACUUAAAUCAUGAAACAUGAGAUGCAUGCUAGGGUAAUGUUUAUAAAAACAUAUAAGUUAAGAAGGGGUCCACUCACAAAUAUUUUAUUGCCCGAGAGCUGCUUGAACUAGCGAGGAGGGUGCCACCUCCCACCGAAGCACCUAAACACAUAUAGAGGCCAUUUAAAAAACUAUACUAAAACGUCAGAAUUUUGGAAAACGGGUGACGAAUUAUGUCACGUCCCGGAUCCGGGGUUGGAAAAAAAAUUAACCCCGCACCCAGCGCACGAGUAAAAGUAAAAUAAAUAAAAGGAAAUUGACACGGGUUGGAAAAAUAAACUCCACUUUUUAAAUAUAACUCCAAAUUCCUCACAGGGUGUACAAAAGUAAUAAAUUAAAAUCCUUAAACUUCUCCUCAAUCACAACCUCAGCUCUUUUAACACAUGUCUUGCCAAAUAACAUCUGUAAAAUAAUAGGUGAGGGGUGAGCAACAACCACCAUCGCUCAAUGAGUAGAAUAUGUAAUAUGUCAAUCAAGCAAUGCAUGUUUACACACACUAGAAAAUACAAUAAUAAUAUCAAAGGUUUAACCACGUAAUUUCAUAUCACAUCAUCCUUUUACGUGUUCAUUACAUCCUUCAUAAAUUGUAACUCACCACGUGACCUCUACUGGCCUUUUUGCCCUAAUGUCCCCGUGUGCAGUUUACAUUUAUCCCUUGGAUUAAUGCAACACUAAAGUUCUCAUACUCCAUGAACAUAUCCAAAUAAUCCACAUAUCACCAUAUUAAUAAUUCCAAAAGCAUUUCAACAAAUCCAACAUGCUUGACUUAAAAUAGAUAGAGAUUUAUAAAUAGAUAAAACCCACUAUAAUUCAUGGUUUUCAUUUAUCAGAAAAUAAGAAUACUUUAAAACACAUUACAUAAACCACUCACCUUGAUAAUCCAAGCUUUGGCAAGACAACCCAACUAACAUCUCUACAAACCUCAAACUCUCUAACCCUAAACUCUCUUGCUUCUCUCUACGUUGAACCUUCGAUGCAUGCUCUGCAUGUUUCCUUGAUAUGCGAAAACAAUGGAGCAUGGCCUUCUAUUUAUAGGUUAGGGAAGCCGGCAACAACUUGGUUGGAAUUGGAUGGUUUUUGGGGUCUCAAAGGCA
rnacentral:lncRNA from 1 species